GCAGCUAUUCGGAUAACCUACUUCUUUCGGUCGGUCAUCUUGUUCUUCUGCGGGUUACAGCUCGUGUGUGGGUGGGUGUAUGCGUGCGAGCGAGUGUUUGCUUGCUUGCUUGCUUGCUUGCUUACAACCAUGCCGGCCUGUCGCUGACAAAUAGUGCAACGAUUCUACAACAGGUGCCUCGCUUUCUUUUCUUCACCGCUGUUUGUACAAGACAUGAGGCC